UUGAGUUCUUUCUGUUCUUUGGGGCAUCCAGCGACAAAUUAGUCGUAAAGUCGUUUAGUCGUAUAGUCGAAUAGCCGUAUUCUCGUACAACCGUAUUGUGUGUUCGUUGCGCUCGUCUCUUGAUUCGUGCUCGUUAUUCGAAACAGAUCAGAACAGCAUUUAAAAUCGAAAGUAACGUUGCGAAGGACAAGAAGACGGCUGUAAGGACAACGAAAAAAAUUACAAGCCAAGUGCGCUCGUGUUCGUGAAUUUCCGGUUGAACAAACACAUAAGCAAAACGUAAAAGAAAAGCGAGCAAAAA